rnacentral:lncRNA from 1 species
GGGAAAGGAAGGACGGAGGAGCACGGAACCGGGCGCUCGGGGGCUUUGGGGCCGAGCUGCUGGGAAAGGCGGCUUUCGGUUGGCGAGCGGCAGCGCCGUGCGUCGGGGCCGGCGAGAAAAACUGCGAGCUAUGAAAGGCCGGCUGUGGCGGAGAGGGACGGCGAGCGGGAGACGGAGCGGCGGCGGCGGCGAGAGGGCCGAGCUCCCCUCUCUGAAGGCACGGCUCCCGGGGCAGCAGAGGAGAAUGCCAGUUUGGAUCAAAGCCCCUGGCUCAGCCAUCAGUAAGGGAGGAGGCGGAGC